rnacentral:rRNA from 1 species
UACAGAGGUGCCAAGCGUUGUUCGGAUUUAUUGGGCGUAAAGGGUGCGUAGGCGGUGAUGCAAGUCGGUUGUGAAAUUCCGGAGCCUAACUCCGGAACUGCAUUCGAAACUGCAUCGCUCGAGGUCUGGAGAGGUAAUUGGAAUUCUAGGUGUAGCAGUGAAAUGCGUAGAUAUCUAGAGGAACACCAGAGGCGAAAGCGAAUUACUGGACAGAACCUGACGCUGAGGCACGAAAGCUAGGGGAGCAAACGGG